GACGAACGCUGGCGGCGUGCCUAAUACAUGCAAGUAGAACGCUGAAGGAGGAGCUUGCUUCUCUGGAUGAGUUGCGAACGGGUGAGUAACGCGUAGGUAACCUGCCUGGUAGCGGGGGAUAACUAUUGGAAACGAUAGCUAAUACCGCAUAAUAUUGACUAUUGCAUGAUAGUUGAUUAAAAGGUGCAAUUGCAUCACUACCAGAUGGACCUGCGUUGUAUUAGCUAGUUGGUGGGGUAACGGCUCACCAAGGCGACGAUACAUAGCCGACCUGAGAGGGUGAUCGGCCACACUGGGACUGAGACACGGCCCAGACUCCUACGGGAGGCAGCAGUAGGGAAUCUUCGGCAAUGGACGGAAGUCUGACCGAGCAACGCCGCGUGAGUGAAGAAGGUUUUCGGAUCGUAAAGCUCUGUUGUAAGAGAAGAAACGAGUGUGAGAGUGGAAAAGUUCACACUG
rnacentral:rRNA from 1 species